rnacentral:rRNA from 1 species
GACGAACGCUGGCGGCGUGCUUAACACAUGCAAGUCGAACGGAAAGGCCCUGCUUUUGUGGGGUGCUCGUGUGGCGAACGGGUGAGUAACACGUGAGUAACCUGCCCUUGACUUUGGGAUAACUUCAGGAAACUGGGGCUAAUACCGGAUAGGAGCUCCUGCUGCAUGGUGGGGGUUGGAAAGUUUCGGCGGUUGGGGAUGGACUCGCAGCUUAUCAGCUUGUUGGUGGGGUAGUGGCUUACCAAGGCUUUGACGGGUAGCCCGCCUGAGAGGGUGACCGGCCACAUGGGGCCUGAGAUACGGCCCAGACGCCUACGGGAGGCAGCAGUGGGAAAUAUUGCACAAUGGGCGGAAGCCUGAUACAGCAACGCCGCGUGCGGAAUGACGGCCUUCGAGUUGUAAACAGCUGUCGAAUGUGACGAAGCGUGAGUGACGGUAAUGGGUAAAGAAGCACCGGCUAACUACGUG